rnacentral:tRNA from 1 species
GGGUCCGUCGUUCAUGGCAGUAGGAUCCUGUCUUUGACAAACAGGGGAACCGAGUGCAAAUCUCGGCGGAUCCACCA